rnacentral:rRNA from 1 species
CCCUUAAAUUACAAUGGCAAGGUCGGAACGAACUCUGGUAUUGAUUGGUGCUUGCAUCAUGAUUUACAUUUGAGUGAGUGGCGAACUGGUGAGUAACACGUGGGAAACCUGCCCAGAAGCGGGGGAUAACACCUGGAAACAGAUGCUAAUACCGCAUAACAACUUGGACCGCAUGGUCCGAGUUUGAAAGAUGGCUUCGGCUAUCACUUUUGGAUGGUCCCGCGGCGUAUUAGCUAGAUGGUGGGGUAACGGCUCACCAUGGCAAUGAUACGUAGCCGACCUGAGAGGGUAAUCGGCCACAUUGGGACUGAGACACGGCCCAAACUCCUACGGGAGGCAGCAGUAGGGAAUCUUCCACAAUGGACGAAAGUCUGAUGGAGCAACGCCGCGUGAGUGAAGAAGGGUUUCGGCUCGUAAAACUCUGUUGUUAAAGAAGAACAUAUCUGAGAGUAACUGUUCAGGUAUUGACGGUAUUUAACCAGAAAGCCACGGCUAACUACGUGCCAGCAGCCGCGGUAAUACGUAGGUGGCAAGCGUUGUCCGGAUUUAUUGGGCGUAAAGCGAGCGCAGGCGGUUUUUUAAGUCUGAUGUGAAAGCCUUCGGCUCAACCGAAGAAGUGCAUCGGAAACUGGGAAACUUGAGUGCAGAAGAGGACAGUGGAACUCCAUGUGUAGCGGUGAAAUGCGUAGAUAUAUGGAAGAACACCAGUGGCGAAGGCGGCUGUCUGGUCUGUAACUGACGCUGAGGCUCGAAAGUAUGGGUAGCAAACAGGAUUAGAUACCCUGGUAGUCCAUACCGUAAACGAUGAAUGCUAAGUGUUGGAGGGUUUCCGCCCUUCAGUGCUGCAGCUAACGCAUUAAGCAUUCCGCCUGGGGAGUACGGCCGCAAGGCUGAAACUCAAAGGAAUUGACGGGGGCCCGCACAAGCGGUGGAGCAUGUGGUUUAAUUCGAAGCUACGCGAAGAACCUUACCAGGUCUUGACAUACUAUGCAAAUCUAAGAGAUUAGACGUUCCCUUCGGGGACAUGGAUACAGGUGGUGCAUGGUUGUCGUCAGCUCGUGUCGUGAGAUGUUGGGUUAAGUCCCGCAACGAGCGCAACCCUUAUUAUCAGUUGCCAGCAUUAAGUUGGGCACUCUGGUGAGACUGCCGGUGACAAACCGGAGGAAGGUGGGGAUGACGUCAAAUCAUCAUGCCCCUUAUGACCUGGGCUACACACGUGCUACAAUGGAUGGUACAACGAGUUGCGAACUCGCGAGAGUAAGCUAAUCUCUUAAAGCCAUUCUCAGUUCGGAUUGUAGGCUGCAACUCGCCUACAUGAAGUCGGAAUCGCUAGUAAUCGCGGAUCAGCAUGCCGCGGUGAAUACGUUCCCGGGCCUUGUACACACCGCCCGUCACACCAUGAGAGUUUGUAACACCCAAAGUCGGUGGGGUAACCUUUUAGGAACCAGCCGCCUAAGGGAACCAGAUUC